rnacentral:lncRNA from 1 species
GUUUUAAUUCCAAAUGCAUCCUUUUGCCCCCCCCCCCACCACUAUUUACAAUGGCUUUAAAAAAAAAACUCAUAAACCCUUUUUCUUUCUCUCUCCCUCUCUCUCUCUCUUUUUUUUUUUUUUUUUAAAUAACGAGUUUACAUAUUCCCUGGAGGCUGCUGACUGAGAAAGGAACACGUCUCUCCCGAGCCUCGUUGCCUCCACAUACCGGAUGCGUCGACCUGGCCCCGCGAAGCUCCAGCCCUACUUCCUCAAUCUAUUAGAGACGGAGAAAGUUACUGAAACUGCAUGGGAUCCUGUAUACAGGUGAACAGUAAUCUACCCUCUUGAGAUGGAUGAAGAGAGUGAGAGCCUCUUAGAUCAAGAGACUGAUGGUGGGAUCCCAGAGACCCCAGGAGCUUCCAAUUAGCCAUGCAGCCAUCCUGUGUACAAAUACAUUCUCAUCCUUCCCUAAAAAGGCAGAGACACAGUACCCCAACAGUCAUGGUGCCAUUAUCUGGGAGUCAAUGACAUCAUCUAUCUCCAUGCCUUUUUAGUUACUCCUUAAAUUCAGUCACAGUCUUAUCUGAUUUUCUGUUAUUAAAGACUAAAUUUUAAAGUUAGCCUCCAACAAAACUUGUAACCAAAUAAUAUAAGGAGAAAGAGAAAGAAGAAAAUAGUUCAUAUUGACAAAUAUACAUACUACAAGCUCACAUGAAACAAGC